AGACAACAAUACCUAUAUCAUUGCAAUGAAGGAUCUAGCCUGCACCUGUGUUUAAUUAACCAUAGCCUGCAUCUGUGUUUGUCUGGAGAAAGAUCUGGAAAGGGCAAAGCAGUAGUACCUGGAAGCUGUUUCCUGCAGUGACCAACAACAGAUACUUCAGAGGAAGGCAUAAAAUACCCCCCAGCAUGCUGUGUGACCAUGUGGCCUAAUGGAUCGGGUAUCUAACUUCACAUCAGAAGACUAAGGGCUUGCAUCUCUUCGUGGUCCAUUUGCUUCAGCGCUUGGAUACUAAGUCUGUCCCAAGGGGCACAGAGAUCACUGCUUGGCUUCUUACCUUGCUGGGAAUGACAUCAUCAUCAGAAGGAACACUGCUGCUUGGAAGAGAAGGGAAGAGAAGUGUUGAGAUUAGAUUCACUCCUGAAAACUCAUGCCAUACGUUCACAGAUCUAAC